rnacentral:miRNA from 12 species
CUCCGGGACUCGCCACCGUGUUC